UCUCUUGUAAUCUAGACUACCAUGGGCCUUCCUAUGUUGCUGAACUCCUUUUCCUUCUAUUCCUACCCCCCAGUGGCAGAGAUGGUUCAGGCUGGAGCCAGUCCCACCUUUGACAAAAAGUUCAGUGAAACACUUUUCAUCUUUGACUGCCACCUCGUAUGCAGCAUCAUCCGCCAGCGUGCACUUGUUGAUGGUGAGAAUUCGUUUCUUCCCCACGUUCUCAAACACAUACCUGGUGUGAGAGCAGCCAUUAUAAAGGACACAACCAAAUGAAAA